CCUACGGGUGGCAGCAGUGAGGAAUAUUGGUCAAUGGCCGGAAGGCUGAACCAGCCAAGCCGCGUGAGGGAGGAAGGCGCAGAGCGUCGCAGACCUCUUUUGCCGGGGGACAAAAGGCCGGACUCGUCCGGUCCUGAGGGUACCCGGAGAAAAAGCAUCGGCUAACUCCGUGCCGGCAGCCGCGGUAAUACGGAGGAUGCGAGCGUUAUCCGGAGUCAUUGGGUUUUAAGGGUGCGCAGGCGGGCCUUUAAGCCGGGGGUGAAAUCGCGGGGCUGAACCCCGCCGAGGCGUCGGAACUGGGGGCCUUGAGUGCGGCGGAGGCAUGCGGAAUGCGCGGUGGAGCGGUGAAAUGCAUAGAUAUCACGCAGAACUCCGAUUGCGAAGGCAGCAUACCGGCGCUCGACUGACGCUGAUGCACGAGAGUGUGGGUAGCGAACAGGAUUAGAUACCCCUGUAGUC
rnacentral:rRNA from 1 species